GGCUUCAUAGCUCAGUUGGUUAGAGCGUCGCACCGGUAUCGUGUGGUCACGGGUUUGAACGCCGUUGAAGUCC
rnacentral:tRNA from 1 species